rnacentral:lncRNA from 14 species
ACACAACCAACCCCUGAGAGCAGUCUGACCUGCAGCCAGCUGCUGUUAAUGAGCUGAGAAGGAGGCAGGAAUCUGUGCAAUGAAAACAGUGGAUUUGACAGACACAGAAGAUUACACUUCUGCCUUUUCUGAUUCAGGGCAUGUGAGAAGAGAAGGAAAAUAAAUCAGCCAUCAAAACCAGUGAGCAGUACUUGAAUCAGGUGCACAAGGACAGCAUAAAAUUUACCAAAGGGUAUCAGUUUUGGAAGAACAAC